rnacentral:misc_RNA from 1 species
AAGUCGUAACAAGGUUUCCGUAGGUGAACCUGCGGAAGGAUCAUUACCGAGUGGCGCGAAAUUCCUGUCGUGAGACGGGGGAAGCUACCCGACCUUUUGUCAUUUUGUCAAGUCUGGCUGGCGGGAUUGCAUUCGUGAGAAGCGAAUGUGGAUUUCGGCAGACGGACCAAAACUUCGGCGGAAGAGGUAGGCGUGGACCUGCCCGCCGCCGGCCGUAGAAGACAAUAUACAUUCUUGAGAGCAAACUGAAGUCUAAGACGAUCCUUGAAAAAGGAAUACCAAAAAAAAGCAAAACUUUCAACAACGGAUCUCUUGGCUCUG